rnacentral:tRNA from 1 species
UCCCAGAGGGCUCAGAUGGUAAAGAAUCUGCCUGCAGUGCAGGAGACCUGGGUUCGAUCCCUGUGUCGGAA